AAACAGACCCUACAGAUGGAAUACCAGGGACUACGUAUGGGGAUGGCGAACCUAGAGGCCAGGCUGUUGGAGGUUCAGUCCCAGUUCCAGCAACGUCUGUCUGGGUAUAGUGGCAAGGUGAUGGGCCUGGAGGGAGAACUGACCUCCAUAAGGGCCAGCACCACUGAGCAGAGCCAGGACUACCAGAUCCUUCUGAACAUCAAGAGU